UUGAAAGGGAAACGAUUGAAGUCAGUCGUACCAGCGGGAAAUCAACCUUUCGAGUGGGGUUUUGGAGUUUUGAAGAGUUUCAAAACCUUUGGAUUCAAAAUUUUCGCUCUUUUGGUGUACUUUCUCGUGGGUAGGUUAACAUCGAUUUUGAUCAUCAUAAAAAGAUGGAGGAAUGUAGCUUCGAUCUUGUAUUGAAGUGUUAUAGCCUUUGGUAAAUGUGAUGAUUAGGAUCGAGGAUGCCACGAAUACCCUUCUGGGCCUUCCCCCCGAUUUUCUAAUCGGGGCCGGGGUAUCGAAAGCUUGCUUAUCGUAAAAAGGUAUCACGGUCAAAAGGUUAGACCGGCAUAAAUUCGUUAAGGAUGUUGACGUA
rnacentral:rRNA from 1 species